rnacentral:rRNA from 1 species
UACGUAGGGUGCGAGCGUUAAUCGGAAUUACUGGGCGUAAAGCGUGCGCAGGCGGUUUUGUAAGCCAGAUGUGAAAGCCCCGGGCUUAACCUGGGAACUGCGUCUGAUACUGGGUGGCUUGAAUCCGGGAGAGGGAUGCGGAAUUCCAGGUGUAGCGGUGAAAUGCGUAGAUAUCUGGAGGAACACCGGUGGCGAAGGCGGCAUCCUGGACCGGCAUUGACGCUGAGGCGCGAAAGCCAGGGGAGCAAACGGG